GAUGAAGAACGUAGCGAAAUGCGAUAAGUAAUGUGAAUUGCAGAGUUUAGUGAAUCAUCGAAUCUUUGAACGCACAUUGCGCCCCCUGGUAUUCCGGGGGGCAUGCCUGUCCGAGCGUCAUUACAACCCUCAAGCUCAGCUUGGUGUUGGGCCCCGCCGCCCCGGCGGGCCCUAAAGUCAGUGGCGGUGCCGUCCGGCUCCGAGCGUAGUAAUUCUUCUCGCUCUGGAGGUCCGGUCGUGUGCUCGCCAGCAACCCCCAAUUUUUUUCAGGUUGACCUCGGAUCAGGUAGGGAUACCCGCUGAACUUAAGCAUAUCAAUAAGCGGAGGA
rnacentral:misc_RNA from 1 species